rnacentral:rRNA from 1 species
GCUCGAGUGGCGAACGGGUGAGUAACACGUGAGUAACCUGCCCUUGACCUUGGGAUAACUUCAGGAAACUGGGGCUAAUACCGGAUAGGAGCUCCUGCUGCAUGGUGGGGGUUGGAAAGUUUCGGCGGUUGGGGAUGGACUCGCGGCUUAUCAGCUUGUUGGUGGGGUAGUGGCUUACCAAGGCUUUGACGGGUAGCCGGCCUGAGAGGGUGACCGGCCACAUUGGGACUGAGAUACGGCCCAG